AUACGGAGGGGGCUAGCGUUGUUCGGAAUUACUGGGCGUAAAGCGCGCGUAGGCGGACUGAUCAGUUGGGGGUGAAAUCCCAGGGCUUAACCCUGGAACUGCCUCCAAUACUGUCAGUCUUGAGUUCGGGAGAGGUGAGUGGAAUUCCUAGUGUAGAGGUGAAAUUCGUAGAUAUUAGGAAGAACACCAGUGGCGAAGGCGGCUCACUGGCCCGAUACUGACGCUGAGGCGCGAAAGCGUGGGGAGCAAACAGGAUUAGAAACCCUAGUAGUCC
rnacentral:rRNA from 1 species